rnacentral:lncRNA from 1 species
GGACAGCUUACCAGCAGUUGACGUUGAGGACGGAGCCCGACUCCCGUAGGAGUUCGGGCGGAGUCUACUUGCUGUUGUAGUGGUUGGCAGAGUCCGGCUCCCGUAGGAGUUCGGACGAAGUCUGCUCGCGGUUGUAGUUGUUGGCGGAGUCUGGCUCCCGUAGGAGUCCGAGCGGAGUUGUCAUGUAGUCGAUUCCACUGAGAACUUCGGUUGUGGGUAUUUUAUACCCAACACCAGUCCCCCUACUUUCGAGUUUGAAUUUCAAAUGAAGGAAGUACAGAGAGAGAGAUGGGCACAGCCGAAGCCGUCCCUUCGAAUCCUGCGCACUGCCGCCCCCAGAUAUUUCGGCAUUAAAUGUGCGCGUGCCGGAGUCUUUACGAAUUGGAGUGGUAUGAGGGGACGCUUCGAAAUUCUCAUAGGUACACUGGCCUAGGUACGGUGCAAUUAUAAUCCUGCCAACCGCCAGCCGCUUUUAGCCGCCUGCCAGGGGGAGUGGGACACGUGUUGGAUGCGGACCGGCCUGGGGGGAUUCGCGAUCAUUAUGGCGCCGGAUCCCAGGGUCUAUUUAAACCCAUCCUCCCACCUUUAGGUGUCCCACUCCGUUCCUGAGUUCUCACCAGCAUCUGCCUUCUCUUCGAGAGCCCUGUUUCAGUGAGCGUCUUCUCAAGCCGUAGGCGUCUCCUGCUUUCGUCCCUCAGGUCCCUCAGAGUGAAAUAGGUUAGUUCCAGCACCGCCAACCUUCUUCUCAUCACCUAGGGACUUCUUUUCUGUCAUUGUCUUUCUUGCAUUCCUCCGAGUUAGUCUGUGAUCUCUCGUUCCCCCUUCUGUCCGUCUUCUUAGGGUCCUUUAGAGCCUCCCUUCGAAACCACUCGAAAUGUCCUCUGGCUCUUCUGCUCCCGGCAGUUCUGAGAGCUCUUCUGCCUCAAACCCCCAGGUCCCUGUCUCUGUAGACGAACCUGCAUCUGGGGCUGGGCCCCACCCGGUUUUCGCGCCGGGUGCCAUUCCGUGUUCCUUGACCUCGGAGGAACUCCUUCUGAUAAN